CAGCCGCCGCGGGAAUACGUAGGUGGCAAGCGUUGUCCGGAAUUAUUGGGCGUAAAGGGCUCGCAGGCGGUUUCUUAAGUCUGAUGUGAAAGCCCCCGGCUCAACCGGGGAGGGUCAUUGGAAACUGGGAAACUUGAGUGCAGAAGAGGAGAGUGGAAUUCCACGUGUAGCGGUGAAAUGCGUAGAGAUGUGGAGGAACACCAGUGGCGAAGGCGACUCUCUGGUCUGUAACUGACGCUGAGGAACGAAAGCGUGGGGAGCGAACAGGAUUAGAUACCCGCGUAGUCCCUGUCUCUUAUAC
rnacentral:rRNA from 1 species